GGAGUGUGCGCUGUGGGCUGGACUGCCUUCAGCAGAGUGAGUCAUGUGUGAGACAGCUCAGCCCUGGCAGUGAGCUUUCCAGGAGAGCCUCUGACCCUCACAGACCUUCCUGAGCUCAGCCAGGAUGUACCAAGACAGAACCAGGAUAGCUCCUAUAAGGCUCUUUUCCUAAGACACGCUAAGCAGGUACCCUCUCUAAAAUAUAUUGUUGGAGAAAAAGAAAAAAUUAA
rnacentral:lncRNA from 1 species